rnacentral:rRNA from 1 species
GGCGCUUCGGGAGAGGCCUGCGGCCAUCAGCUAGUUGGUAGGGUAACGGCCUACCAAGGCAGAGACGGGUAGGGGGCGUGAGAGCGCGGACCCCCACACCGGCACUGAGAUACGGGCCAGACUCCUACGGGAGGCAGCAGUAAGGGAUAUUGCGCAAUGGACGAAAGUCAGACGCAGCGACGCCGCAUGGGCGAUGAAGGCCUUCGGGUUGUAAAAGCCCUUUUAUGGGGGGAGAGAAAAAGGACGGUACCCCAGGAAAUAAAGUCCCGGCUAAACUACGUUGCCAGCAGCCGGGGGUAAAACGUAGGGGACAAGCGUUAUCCGGAUUCACUGGGCGUAAAGAGCGUAGAGGCGGGUUCCGUAAAGUUGGGCGUGAAAAGCUCCGGGCUUAACUCGGAGAUGUCGGUUCAAUAACUGCGGGGCUUGAGGACAGCAGAAGGAAGGGUGGAAUUCCCCGGGUGUAAGUGGUGAAAUAGCGGUAGAAUAUCGGGGAGGAAACACCCGGUGGCGAAAGGGGGCCUUCUAGGGCUUGUUCCUAGAACGCUAGAAGGCGAAAAGCUAAGGGGAGCGAACGGGAUUAGAUACCCCGGUAGUCCUAGCUGGUAAACGAUGGAUCCUGGGUCUGGGGGGUGUAAUUCCCUCUGUGCCGAAGCAAACGGCGUUAAGCAUCCCGGCUUGGGGACUACGGCCGCAAGGCUAAAACCUCAAACGAAUUGACGGGGGCCCGCACAAGCACCGGAGCGUGUGGUUUAAUUCGAUGCUACACGAAGAACCUUACCUGGGUUUGACAUGCACGUGGUAGGGAACCGAAAGGGGACCGACCUUCGGGAGCGUGCACAGGUGCUGCAUGGCUGUCGUCAGCUCGUGCCGUGAGGUUUCGGGUUAAGUCCCGUAACGAGCGCAACCCUUGCCCUUAGUUACAAGUGUCUAAGGGGACUGCCCGGGACAACUGGGAGGAAGGUGGGGAUGACGUCAAGUCAGCAUGGCCUUUAUAUCCAGGGCUACACACACGCUACAAUGGCCGGUACAAUAGGUUGCGAAGUCGUGAGGCGGAGCCAAUCCUCAAAGCCGGUCUCAGUUCGAAUUUGCAGUCUGCAACUCGACUGCAUGAAGCUGGAGUUGCUAGUAAUCGCAGGUCAGCUAUACUGCGGUGAUACGUUCCCGGGCCUUGUACACACCGCCCG